rnacentral:tRNA from 1 species
UAAUGAGUGGUGUAAUUAGCAUAAAUAAUUUCGGCUUAUAAGGUAGGAUUUAUUCUUCUCAUUUU